GCAUGAGGAAUAGGUCACUGGAGCACUCUGAGCAGCAUGCCCGCGUGCAGGAUGACUGCCCUAUGGGUUGUAAACUGCUUUUAUACAGGAAGAAAUGUAUCUACGUGUAGAUAUUUGACGGUACUGUAGGAAUAAGGAUCGGCUAACUCCGUGCCAGCAGCCGCGGUAAUACGGAGGAUCCGAGCGUUAUCCGGAAUUAUUGGGUUUAAAGGGUUCGUAGGCGGCCUUAUAAGUCAGGGGUGAAAUCUCUCAGCUCAACUGAGAACUUGCCUUUGAUACUGUAUGGCUUGAAUAAUAUUGAAGUAACUAGAAUAUGUAGUGUAGCGGUGAAAUGCAUAGAUAUUACAUGGAAUACCAAUUGCGAAGGCAGGUUACUAAUUAUUUAUUGACGCUGAUGAACGAAAGCGUGGGUAGCGAACAGGAUUAGAUACCCUGGUAGUCCACGCCGUACACGAUGGAUACUAGCUGUUUGAUUUUCGGAUUGAGUGGCUAAGCGAAAGUGAUAAGUAUCCCACCUGGGGAGUACGUUCGCAAGAAUGAAAUCAA
rnacentral:rRNA from 1 species